UAAAAGAGGGGUAAAGAAACCCUAAAAUAACAACCAUCGUUUUCUUCUUCCCAAACUCAGAACACGAUCUUCCUCACUGCCAAAAGCCCAAAACACAAUCUCUAAUGGCCAUGAAUCAUAACAAAAAGCAAAAAAACACCUUUGUCUUUCUACAUCGCUCCUCUCAUCUAUUUUCUCAAUCAAAACACAAACAUUCAUGGCCACAAAAAAAAAUCGAUUUCGAACCGAACGAAAAAAAAACAUCCAUACGGCCAAACUCAGUUUACACAGAGCAAUUCCUCACAUCACAACACACAAACAAAUAAAAACUCACAUCACAACACACAAACGAAACAACACGACCAUCAUGAAAUCGAAAAAGAAAUCAAACCAGAAGUUAACGCAUUCAACAAAGUCAGCAUAAAUAAAAUGAAGAUAAUGUUUAAAAAUGCGAAGGCGGAAGAAAUUCUACCCAGAAAUGUAGCUCCUGCAGAGGCACCACUCAGGUUUGAAAGUAUGUGUGUUAAAGAAGAAAAAAGAGAAAGAUGGACAUGCUCUUUAGCUGCAGAAAGAAAGAACAAAAUAGUGUGAAAACAAGACAAAAAAAGAUCUCUGGCCAAGGGAAUCAAUCCAAACAAAACCAGCAAACCUCUCUUGAGAGCACCACUUAGACAUACCUUUCUUUUAUAAUUUUGCUGAUUUUUUUAAAAUGUAAAAUUAAAUUUCUAUUUUUUUUUGAAUUAAAAAUCAAUGUAAAAAGGAAUGUAAAUUUUUUUGAAUUUUAAUGUAAACAUAAUAUCUAUUUAUAAAAA